AUUGAACGCUGGCGGCAGGCCUAACACAUGCCAGUCGAACGGUAACAGGAAGAAGCUUGCUUCUUUGCUGACGAGUGGCGGACGGGUGAGUAAUGUCUGGGAAACUGCCUGAUGGAGGGGGAUAACUACUGGAAACGGUAGCUAAUACCGCAUAACGUCGCAAGACCAAAAAGGGGGACCUUCGGGCCUCUUGCCAUCGGAUGUGCCCAGAUGGGAUUAGCUAGUAGGUGGGGUAACGGCUCACCUGGGCGACGAUCCCUAGCUGGUCUGAGAGGAUGACCAGCCACACUGGAACUGAGACACGGUCCAGACUCCUACGGGAGGCAGCAGUGGGGAAUAUUGCACAAUGGGCGCAAGCCUGAUGCAGCCAUGCCGCGUGUAUGAAGAAGGCCUUCGGGUUGUAAAGUACUUUCAGCGGGGAGGAAGGGAGUAAAGUUAAUACCUUUGCUCAUUGACGUUACCCGCAGAAGAAGCACCGGCUAACUCCGUG
rnacentral:rRNA from 1 species